rnacentral:lncRNA from 1 species
GAAGUUGUCAAAGGUUGCUCUGCUCUCCAGCACUUGGCACGGGCUCCUCUGAAAUGUGAUACCAUUGGUUUUCAGUAAAGGUUCCUUUCUGCAGGGCUGCAAACAGCUCAGCUGCUACCCUGUACACACAGCCCCGGAGCAGAGCGAGCAGCACCUUCCCAGCAGCCUUUUGAACCCGAGACUCUCCCAGAUCCCCUCUUCACCCAGGAAGUUUCCUCUGUGUUGUAGAUUUAGCACCAGACUCCAGUCAUCAGAUCCGAGCAGAGCAGACUCCCCGCUGCACAGUACAGAGGCUUGCUUAAGACAUUUGUCCUUGAAACUGCACCAAACUCUUGGAAGAGCCCAGAACGUAGCUACUUGCUGGUUCAUCAAUGAAGCAACCCGAAGUGAUGAAGAUGUAAGGAACGCAUCCUACGCUAGCACUGUUGCAGUUGGAAAGAGUACAUCAGAGAAAAAGAAGAAAGAAAAAAAAAAGAAAGAAAGAAAGAAAGAAAUCAGGCCAGCUCGAGUUUGGAAAAGAUAAAUAAAUCUAUUUGUUUGGCGGGUUGCAUUUUGCAUUAUGCAUGUACGUAAAAGUGAGGUUUGCUUUGAUCCUGUCUAUUAAAAGUUUAUUUUUAAACUCAGACUGGGCAGGGAUCCAGCAAUGCUCUUUGUCCUGCAACACAUCCUGGGCUUUGGGUCCCCAGCCUGGCAGAACUGUGGGGAAGCAGGAGGAAGAAGAGAACAGUGUGGAUUGUUGAUGGGUGCUCAGGGGUUUUCCCUCCCUUCCUCCCUUCCUCCCUUC